GCAUGAUACCGACGAAACAGCACAACGACAAUUGACAAUCUAAGGCUGUGCGCAGUUGACUACCUGAAUAUUAACGAUAAAGGCCGAAUGAUAAUUUAGUAGCCUAACAUUACCAGAUUAAAACGUUUAGUGAGGCUGGUUUUAAGAAUUUAUCCUAACCCUUUUUCGUCAUGACCGCACGGCGUUACGUCGGAUGAGCCGCAUCAAACCGUCAGUUUGGUAUCGAUACAAAAUCGGGUUUAUUAGGCAUAAAUCCCGAAUAUUAUUUGCGCGAUAAAAAUAAUAAUAACGCGAGAGUUUGCAAGUUGCCAGAAGACUGUAGUUGCAGCUGUCAAAGGAAGAGUGGAUACGCGCAUGACUCAACACACAUUACUGUAGCAUAUUACUGUACACGGCCGCGAAGAUAAUUUCCGUAUAAAACCCCGAAAUAAUCCCGAGGCGCGUGGCUAACGACCGUGACGACUGUCAGUCCGUCUCCAUCGAAGCCCCCGACCAGACCCGCUUGGAACAGCAGGUGUGAUGGCCAUGUAAAACCGGGAAAGGCGCAUAUACCGCGCGAGGUGUAGCCCUACCGCCUGACCCCCACGUGGGUGACCCGGGCCACCCGGCUGCUCGUGUUGGGUGACUCCCGACAUUGCAGCAUGGAGACCCCCAGUAGCCCCCGGCUGGGGAAGCUGUCAACAGGGGGGGCUUCAAGAGGUCGUCCCCCCAAACAGGCCCACCCCCAGGAGGCUGCCAGGACCACAGCUACAGGCCCAGAGAGCAACAAACAGAGUGAGUGACCACUAGACUGACCAUGUUUUGACCACGGACGGUCACUGUGUGUGGGCUUUGUUUCAGCACAGCUCUCAUAGGCUCCCGAGUGGCGCAGCGGUCUAAGGCACUGCAUCUCAGUGCUUGAGGUGUCACUACAGACACCAUG